CAACACAAUUUGUUCGAAUGUUAUCUUUCACCCACUCACAUGCCAAAUUCUUCGUGAGUUGAUUCAAUGCUCCUAGUAAAAAUAAUAGAAUAAUUAGCAACUCCAAGCAUCAUGGAUCAUUUCCCCCCCAAAAGGUGAGAUUAUACCACCCACAACUUUGUUAAUUCCAAAAAGAUCAGCUACACAAAGAUUCGGGCAGGUGACACAAAAAUGAACAGGCUAUGCUUAUCAUAUGAUCUUUAAUCAAAGCCUUCCAAA